rnacentral:rRNA from 1 species
UGCAAAUCAAUAUAAAUUGAAUAAAUUAUAAUUUAUUUAUUAAUUUUUAUUUUUUUUUAUUAUUUUAAUUAGUAUUAAAAAUAUUUAUAUAAUUAAUUUGUUUUAGUAAUUAAUUUGAAAAAAUAAAUUUUAUAAUAGUUAAUUUGUAUUGUAAAUGAAAAUUGAAAUAUAUUGAAAAAUUUUUAUUUUAAAAGAAAAAUUUAUUAUUUGUACCUUGUGUAUCAGGGUUUAUUAAAUAAUUAUUAAAAAUUUAAUGAUCUCGAUUUUAUAAGAGUUAAUAAUUUAUUAUAGUUAAUGUUUUAUAAUUAUUAUUUAUUUAUUAUUAGAAAUGAAAUGUUAUUCGUUUAUAAAUAUAUCUAGUUUUUUUAGAAAUAAAUUUAAUUUAUUAGUUUUAAAUUUUGUUUAUUAAUUUAUUAAUAUAUAAAUUUUAAAAUUAAAAUAUUUUAAGGGAUAAGCUUUAAAAUAAAUUUUUAAAAAUUAAAUAAAAUUUAUUAAAAAUAUAUGCUUAGAAUUAGUAAUUAUUUAUAAAUUUGUUAUAAAUUAUUUUAUAAAUUUAUAUAUUUUAUUAAAAUUUUAAUUUUUUUUUUAUAAAAAUUUUUUUUGUAAUUUUAUAUAAAAAUAAAUAAUGAUAAAAUUAGUAUAUAUAUAUAUAUAAUUAUGUAAAUAUAAUAAAAAAUGAUAAGUUUAUAUAAAGAACUCGGCAAAUAUAUUACUCGCCUGUUUAACAAAAACAUGUCUUUUUGAGUUAUUUUUAAAGUCUAACCUGCCCAAUGAAUAAUAUUUUAAAUGGCCGCAGUAUAUUGACUGUGCAAAGGUAGCAUAAUCAUUAGUCUUUUAAUUGAAGGCUUGAAUGAAUGGUUGGACGAAGUAUAAUCUGUUUCAUAUAAAUUUAUUAUAGAAUUUUAUAUUUUAGUAAAAAAGCUAAAAUUUUAUUAAAAGACGAGAAGACCCUAUAAAUCUUUAUAAUCUUAUAUAUUUUAGUUUUUUUGAAAAAUUUUAUUAUUAUAAAUUAAAUUAUUUUGUUGGGGUGAUGUUAAAAUUUAAUAAACUUUUAAUAAAAAAAAUCAUUAAUUUAUGAUUUAUUGAUCCAUUAUUAAUGAUUAAAAAAAUAAGUUACUUUAGGGAUAACAGCGUAAUUUUUUUGGAGAGUUCUUAUUGAUAAAAAAGUUUGCGACCUCGAUGUUGGAUUAAGAUAAAAUUUUAGGUGUAGUAGCUUAAAUAAUAAGUCUGUUCGACUUU